UACGAAGGGGGCUAGCGUUGCUCGGAAUUACUGGGCGUAAAGCGCUCGCAGGCGGAUCGAUAAGUCAGGGGUGAAAUCCCGGGGCUCAACCUCGGAAUUGCCUUUGAUACUGUCAAUCUCGAGUCCGGGAGAGGUGAGUGGAAUUCCUAGUGUAGAGGUGAAAUUCGUAGAUAUUAGGAAGAACACCAGUGGCGAAGGCGGCUCACUGGCCCGGAACUGACGCUCAUGAGCGAAAGCGUGGGGAGCAAACAGG
rnacentral:rRNA from 1 species